UCGGACGUGGUGCAUGGUGCACACCUGCUUGCAAUAAACGAGCGCUUUCUGCCAAUGAGCAAGGCCUGGGUUCGAUUCCCGGCGCCCGAG